GAAAACAAAGAGAGUCUAGAACAGUUGUAAAAAGACAGUCUAGAACACACCUGCUGCUUAGAUAGCUUCUUCAAAGUUUUCUCCUUGAUAUCAAGCAGUACACAAUACUUCUUCGUUUGCAGAAACCUAUGACCAUGGAAUCACAAAGUGAGUAAAGCAUUCAUCCUUUUAUCAAAUCACUCGUCAAAUCACAAAUCAAGCACCAUUCAAAAUGAAAUAAAAGCAAGGGUUCCAGGUUCUCUUGUUGCACUAAGAACAAAACAAAAUUUUCAUUUAAACAUCAAUUUCACUAAUCUAAAUGUGAGUUAGAAACAAAACGCACAGAGAUAGAACCUAACCCAAAAAGCGUAUAAAUUACAAUCAGGUCAUGAGCUAUGGAACUGAGCCAUGAAGGAAACGGGUUUAAGAUUGAAGCCUUCGGUUAACUUUUCGCGACGCCUUGGAGAUUCAUCUGCAAUCGAAAUCAAAUUUAGUCAAAGGCAAGAAACAAAAGGGUGAAGCAGGUCGAAUCAGAUGUCAAGUAAACCAUCACCUGA
rnacentral:lncRNA from 1 species